GGAUGUGAGGGCAAUCUGGCUGUGACCUCUGUCACCCCACUGAUCGCCAGGUUUGAUUCGGCUGAUCUGGCUGGCUAGGCAGGUGUCCCCUUCCUCCCUUACCACUCCGAGUGCGUCCCUCCUGAAGCUGCAUGCUUGGUCGAAGAGGAUGACCUUCCCCCAUAGAGUAGGACCAUUCUUCAGUCAAGGGUAUACAAGUAGCUGCACUCCCCUGUUAGAACCUCCACUCAUGUUCUCAAGAAUAGCCAUAGAGCUAGUAAAUGCUGAUAACACUUUUGGAAUGGAUUUUUAGCAAUGUGAGAUCUAACAGACAAAUGACCAAAGGUUUAAGGUAGUUAUAUUGCUAGAAAA
rnacentral:snRNA from 1 species